rnacentral:rRNA from 1 species
UACAGAGGGUGCGAGCGUUAAUCGGAAUUACUGGGCGUAAAGCGUGCGCAGGCGGCUUUGCAAGACAGAUGUGAAAUCCCCGGGCUCAACCUGGGAACUGCAUUUGUGACUGCAAGGCUAGAGUACGGUAGAGGGGGAUGGAAUUCCGCGUGUAGCAGUGAAAUGCGUAGAUAUGCGGAGGAACACCGAUGGCGAAGGCAAUCCCCUGGACCUGUACUGACGCUCAUGCACGAAAGCGUGGGGAGCAAACAGG